rnacentral:rRNA from 1 species
ACGAACGCUGGCGGCGUGCUUAGCACAUGCAAGUCGGACGCGAAAGCCUUUCGGGGUGAGUAGAGUGGCGCACGGGUGAGUAAUAAAUAGGAACAUACCUACGGGUGGGGAAUAACUUCGGGAAACCGGAGCUAAUACCGCAUGAUAUCGAGAGAUUAAAGGAGGCCUAUCCUUGGAAGCUUCCGCCGGUAGAUUGGCCUAUUUCCCAUUAGCUAGUUGGUAGGGUAAAGGCCUACCAAGGCUACGAUGGGUAGCUGGUCUGAGAGGAUGAUCAGCCACACUGGAACUGAGAUACGGUCCAGACUCCUACGGGAGGCAGCAGUGGGGAAUUUUGCACAAUGGGCGCAAGCCUGAUGCAGCAACGUCGCGUGAGUGAAGAAGGCUCUUGGGUUGUAAAGCUCUUUCGGCUGGGAAGAGGGGUAUUCCGAGUAACUGCGGAGUAUCUGACGGUACCAGAAGAAGAAGCACUGGCUAAUUCCGU